CGGCUUAUAGUUUAAUUGGUAGAACCCAGCCCUCAUGAGGUUGUUUGUGUAGGUUCAAAUCCUGCUGGGCCGA
rnacentral:tRNA from 1 species